ensembl:lncRNA
AGGGUGCACAAUCUGACAUAUUAGCUCAUUCAGGUGGCAUAACUACUCCAUUAUGUUAAUUAUAGCAGCUGAUAAAAAUAAAAAACCUGUUUCUUGUACUCUUCAUUUGUGAGCACAUCCAUCAUUGGUAUGUUCUUCAUUUCUCUCUUGUGUUUCUAUUCUGUUGUAGAUUCAUGCUGACUCACAUGUGACUUGUCUACCAGCACCAGAUGUGCAUGAUGCUCCCCCUGAAAGUCCUGACCCAAAUUCAACAAUUGGACAGGGCACUGGGUUCAUUACUAGAAUGGCCAGGUGAGAAAUCUCUUGUGAGAUAUUAAAUAUGAAGUUUUAAAUCUGCACUGUG